rnacentral:rRNA from 1 species
CCUACGGGCGGCAGCAGUGAGGAAUAUUGGUCAAUGGACGAGAGUCUGAACCAGCCAAGUAGCGUGAAGGAUGACUGCCCUAUGGGUUGUAAACUUCUUUUAUAUGGGAAUAAAAUGUUCCACGUGUGGGAUUUUGUAUGUACCAUAUGAAUAAGGAUCGGCUAACUCCGUGCCAGCAGCCGCGGUAAUACGGAGGAUCCGAGCGUUAUCCGGAUUUAUUGGGUUUAAAGUGAGCGUAGGUGGAUUGUUAAGUCAGUUGUGAAAGUUUGCGGCUCAACCGUAAAAUUGCAGUUGAAACUGGCAGUCUUGAGUACAGUAGAGGUGGGCGGAAUUCGUGGUGUAGCGGUGAAAUGCUUAGAUAUCACGAAGAACUCCGAUUGCGAAGGCAGUUCACUGGACUGCAACUGACACUGAGGCUCGAAAGUGUGGGUAUCAAACAGGAUUAGAUACCCGGGUAGUC